rnacentral:rRNA from 1 species
GAUGAACGCUAGCGGCAGGCUUAAUACAUGCAAGUCGAGGGGCAGCAGGACUGUAGCAAUACAGUUGCUGGCGACCGGCAAACGGGUGCGGAACACGUACGCAACUUACACUUGUCUGGGGCAUAGCCCACCGCAAGGUGGAUUAACACCCCAUAAGAUAGUGGUGUGGCAUCACACAGCUAUUAAACCUGAGGUGGACAAGGAUGGGCGUGCGGCUGAUUAGGUAGUUGGGGUGGGUAACGGCCCACCAAGCCUGCGAUCAGUAAAUGGUGUAAGCGCACGACCAGUCAUACGGGCACUGAGACACGGGCCCGACUCCUACGGGAGGCAGCAGUAAGGAAUAUUGGUCAAUGGAGGCAACCCUGAUCCAGCGAUGCCGCGUGUGUGAAGAAGGCCUGAGGGUUGUAAAGCACUUUAGUUGAGGAAGAGAGGAUAGAGUUUAAGAGACAUUAUCUGAGACAUGAACCAAAGAAUAAGCACCGGCUAACUCCGUGCCAGCCGCCGCCGUAAAAC